rnacentral:rRNA from 1 species
UAAAAGAAAUAAAUAUUAAUUCACUUUUGCUUGGGCACUACGAACACAUGUUUAAAACCCAAAGAACUUGGCGGUACUUUAACCCACUUAGGGGAACCUGUCCUUUAAUUCGAUAAUCCACGACAAUCUUAUUUAUUUUAGAACACUUCAGCUUGUAUACCGUCGUCAUAAGUUAACCUUAAAAAGAAAAAAAGUUAACAACAAAGAUAAAAUUUAAUAAUUUUCUCCUAGGUCAGAUCAAGGUGCAGCUAAUAAAUAAAGAGGAGAUGGGUUACAAUUGAUAAAUUUCAAAUGGAAUUUUUAAAGAAAAUAAAAACGAAAUAGGACUUAAAAGUAAUUUUAUGAUAACAAACAUUAAUGAAUAAGGAAAUAAAGUGUGC